AGAGAGAGAGAGAGAGAGAGAACAAGGGAGAGUCUAAACCCUAAAAUCUCGAUUCCAUCGCCACUGCCAUUCAUCUCUUUGCCACCGUUGCUGCCAAGUCUCCUCCGUCAAUGCGUCGCUGGUGGGGUUAUGAAUGGAGGACGAGGUGAUCGUGGAGCCCCUUAAUUUGUGGAGCUCUUACCUCUUGGGAUAGUAAUGUUGUAGAUCUUGGAGAGUUUAUAUGUUCUGCGUCGUCUUCCACGGCAGGUUCUGCUUUUGCUCCAGCGGCUUAGCGCGGUUUAGGCACAGACUCGGUGUUGCUGGCUGAGUAGAUCUGGAAGGCGAGCGAGCGGGAGACUCUGGAAGCUUCGAUUGAAGCUGCGUUCGAAGCUAUAUAUCAAAUCUCGUUGAACUGAUUCUCAUGUCAUUCUAAGUCAUUGAGGUUUCAUGCUCCAAAGAAUGUAACAAGAAAAAGGAAAUUUAUGCUCAAGCUAACAAGCCUGCAUCUGCUGAUGAUGAAGAUAUGAACCCCACUGCUCAAGUACCUUGCGGAUCAAAAGGCUGAAGGGAUUAACCCAUACCCGCUCAAGUUCUCUGUGACAAUGUCAAUUAGUCAAUACAUUGACAAAUAUGAAUCAUUGAAAAAGGGGGAGCUCCUUGAAGAUGUCUCUGUCUCUUUGUCUGGCCGGGUCAUGGUUAAAUGCCCUUCGGGUUCCAAGCUUGUCUUCUAUGACUUGCAUGGUGGCAGCUUUAAGAUCUAGGUUAUUGCUGAUGCAAGGUACAAAAUGUAAUUGCUAUUUUUACCAUUAGGGCCAUUAGUUUCAAAUUUAGAAAAUAAAUGUGAAUCGAGAGCUAACAUAUGCUGUAUUCUGUUCUAUUGCUUAGUAUUUUGGUGCUUGACCAACUUGAAAGCAGUUUGAUUUUUGUGGUGACCAAGUUAUUUGUUUAUUUUUUGUGGUGAAUUCUAGCUUAAAUUUUGCUAGAUUCGCUUGAUAUUGAAAAGUUAAAAUGAUUUAUGCUCCAUUUAGCAUGACUUGCAAAUUUGUGGUUCUAGAUUACAUUGUUAACAUUUUCUCAUGUCAUGGUUAAUGCACUGUCUACUAACCUUGUUGCAGUUUCUGAGGAUGAUGGUGAUUCAUGGUGUAGUUUGCUUUAAGUUUAGUAGCAGGUUUGCUUUAUUUAUCUUCGGGCUUACUUGAGCAUGAAUGGGAGGUUGGUUAGUCUUUGACAUCAUAUAAUGAACCUCAACUAUCAAAAGAUUUCAUUCUAACUCAGGUUGACCACAAUCAUAACUUAGGCCCUGGCUUAUCAUGCUUCUUCCAUAUCUCUAUUUUUAUUCUUUCUUUAUUUUCUUCCUUAACGUGCUUGAUAAAUUAUUUGGAUUUUAUAUUACUUUUUAGUAUAGAUGAUGACUAAUGGAACUUCCUAAUUUCAAGCCUAACCUGUGAUUUUAAACUUCUCUAACCAAUUUUCCUGUUUUGUUAACCAAUGAUUAUCUCUUAUAAUUCCCUCUGCUUUGUUGUAGGGAGCAGCGUUGGUGGUCCUUUCUGGACUUGUCGCGGUCCUAAAAUUGGUCGAGAGAAACUUAGCUUAUCACAAGUUCCUCUUCCUUAUGGCUAGAGAGUGCAAGUAGGCACAGGCGGUGCUGGAUGCGGCUGAAGUUGCUACUACAAUUGUGGGAUUUCUAGACAUACAUCACAUAAGAUUAAGUCUAAGAUUGAAGAAUGUUCAAAAAAGGUAUGAGUUCCAAGGUUCACCAGAUGCGUUCUCUGCUUCAGUUCAUGAAUAUAAAAUACCUCCCUAAAGGUCUUUUGGGAUUGCAUUCAUAUUUUUAUUUUGAGACUUUUAUGUAAUUGGAUGAUAUUGAAAUAUUAAAGUUGUUGUUUUAUUUUACUUUUUAAAGAAAAAUAGUAAUAGUUAUGUAGAACAAUAACAUGCAAUUAUGUUUGGAACUAUUAACAUUGAAAAUUUUUUUA